rnacentral:rRNA from 1 species
AACCUAACAGCUAGCCAUAUUCACCAAAAAAAAUUGAACGAUAUAAAUAUCCCCCUAAACCCCCGCCUCCCUCAAACAAAACAUUUUUCCCCCUUAGUAUGGGCGACAGAAAAGGGUCUGACUGAGCGAUAGAAAGAGUACCGCAAGGGAAAGCUGAAAGAGCGAUGAAAAAGCCUAGUAAAGUUUAAAAAAGCAGAGAUAUAACUCGUACCUUUUGCAUCAUGUUUUAGCUAGUAAUACUCAAGCAAAGAGCCCUUCAGUUUGAGCCCCCGAAACUAAGCGAGCUACUCCAAGACAGCCUGUGUUAAAGGGCAAACCCGUCUCUGUGGCAAAAGAGUGGGAAGAGCUUUGAGUAGAGGUGACAGACCUACCGAGCUUAGUUAUAGCUGGUUUCCUGGGAAAUGGAUAGAAGUUCAGCCUACUAAGUUCUUCCCUCAAACCCCUUAAUUAAAGAUUAGAAGAAAUUAGUAGAGUUAGUCAAAGGGGGUACAGCCCCUUUGAUAAAGGAUACAACUUUAAUAGAAGGUUAAAGAUUAUAUUAUAUUUUAAGGAAUUCUCUUCUAGUGGGCCUAAAAGCAGCCACCCUUAUAGAAAGCGUUAAAGCUCAGAUUUUGAACACCCCAUAUAUACUAAUAAUCCAAUCUAAAUCCUCUAUAAAUACCGGGAAGCCCUAUGCAUGCAUAGGAAAUAUACUGCUAAUAUGAGUAAUAAGAGAGUAAUAAGGCUCUCUCCUAGCACAAGUGUAUAUCGGAGCGGACCACCCCCCGAAAAUUAACGGCCCCAAAAACAGAGGGCACUGAGUGAAAAAUAAAGAACUAGAAAAUAACCCAAACAAUAACCGUUAACCUCACACUAGAGUGCUACUAAGGAAAGACUAAAAGAAAGAGAAGGAACUCGGCAAACACUUUUUAAGCCUCGCCUGUUUACCAAAAACAUCGCCUCUUGUGAUACAUAAAUAAGAGGUCCUGCCUGCCCUGUGACAAAUGUUCAACGGCCGCGGUAUUUUGACCGUGCAAAGGUAGCGUAAUCACUUGUUUUUUAAAUGAAGACCUGUAUGAAUGGCAAAACGAGGGCUAAGCUGUCUCCUCUCUCCAGUCAAUGAAAUUGAUCUCCCCGUGAAGAAGCGGGGAUAUAAACAUAAGACGAGAAGACCCUAUGGAGCUUUAGACGCAAGACAGACUACGUUAAAUACCCCGCUUAAAGGCAAGAAACUAAGUAGGACCUGCCCCGAUGUCUUUGGUUGGGGCGACCGCGGGGUAAACUAAAACCCCCAUGUGGAAAGGCGAAACUUUCUCCUUUAUUUAGAGCUACCACUCUAGCUAUUAGAACUUCUAACUAAAAGAUCCGGCAAAGCCGAUCAACGAACCAAGUUACCCUAGGGAUAACAGCGCAAUCCCCUUCUAGAGACCCUAUCGACAAGGGAGUUUACGACCUCGAUGUUGGAUCAGGACAUCCUAAUGGUGCAGCUGCUAUUAAGGGUUCGUUUGUUCAACGAUUAAAGUCCUACGUGAUCUGAGUUCAGACCGGAGUAAUCCAGGUCAGUUUCUAUCUAUGAUAUGACCUCUUCUAGUACGCAGGGACCGAAGAGAGGGGGCCCAUGUUAAAUACAAACCCCUCCCUCACCUAAUGAAAUUAACUGAAUUAGAUAAGGGGGCAUAUUCCCAGACCAAAGAGAAUGGUCAG